AACCUAAACCAAACAAUGUUUGGCAUGGUUUACUGAAUUCAUGGAUAAAUAAAAGCUCGUCAUGAGUCGCUAUUUCUCUAUAGUCGGUACUGGAAACGGUAUCGGGUAGCUUCGGCUAUC
rnacentral:sRNA from 12 species